rnacentral:rRNA from 1 species
ACACGUCUACAUUAGACUACCCCCGUAGUCCCAGCCGUAAACUAUGCUCGCUAGGUGUCAGGCAUGGCGCGACCGUGUCUGGUGCCGCAGGGAAGCCGUGAAGCGAGCCACCUGGGAAGUACGGCCGCAAGGCUGAAACUUAAAGGAAUUGGCGGGGGAGCACGACAACGGGUGGAGCCUGCGGUUUAAUUGGACUCAACGCCGGACAACUCACCGGGGACGACAGCAAUAUGUAGGCCAGGCUGAAGACCUUGCCUGAAUCGCUG